GGCCCUAGGAUUGUUUUAUCGCAGGAACCAAUGCAAGUUUGGCCGAAUUCGAUCGAAAACGGCCAACCCGAGGUGGAUCGCCGCCGCGGGUGGCGAUGGCGUCGCCGGAGCACGACGGAGCCGCCGUGCCGGAAUUUUGAUAUUGGAUAAAAAGGGGCCCUGGGUCUGAUUUGAGAUUUUUUGAGACACGUGCAGGUUCCAGUAGUGCGUUUUAGUUUCCUGAGAAAAAUUCAGAGAAUUUAGGGACAGCCCGUAGGCACACUGUAGAGCCGAUUUCAGACCCCGAAAUAAAUAAGGAUCUCUCACCCUAUUUCCUAUCACAGCAUUAAAGGUUAAUA
rnacentral:lncRNA from 1 species